UACGUAUGGGGCAAGCGUUAUCCGGAUUUAUUGGGUUUAAAGGGUGCGUAGGCGGACGCUUAAGUCAGCGGUAAAAUUGCGGGGCUCAACCUCGUCGAGCCGUUGAAACUGGGUGCCUUGAGUGGGCGAGAAGUACGCGGAAUGCGUGGUGUAGCGGUGAAAUGCAUAGAUAUCACGCAGAACUCCGAUUGCGAAGGCAGCGUACCGGCGCCCAACUGACGCUGAAGCACGAAGGCGUGGGUAUCGAACAGG
rnacentral:rRNA from 1 species